CGCUGUGCUAUCUGGCUGAGACAUCUGUCAUCCCAUUGAUCGCCAGGGUUGAUUCAGCUGAUCUGGCUGGCUAGGCAGGUGUCCCCUUCCUCCCUCACCGCUCCAUGUGCGUCCCUCCCGAAGCUGUGCGCUCGAAGAGGACGGCCUUUCCCGAAUAGAGAUGGACCGGUCUUCGGUCAAGGGUGUAAGAGUAGCUGCGCUCCCCUGCUAGGACCUCCAAACAAGCUCUCGAGGUAGCAAGGCCAGGAAAAAGGCACCUCUGCUGAAAUCUCCUCUAAUUGAGUAAAAAAUGCCUCAAAU
rnacentral:snRNA from 1 species